rnacentral:tRNA from 1 species
GGGGAUGUAACUCAGUGGUAGAGCACUUGCCUAGUGCGCAUGAGGGUGCCUGGGUUCAAUUCCCAGCACCA